GGGUUGUGAGGUUAAGCGACUAAGCGUACACGGUGGAUGCCUAGGCAGUCAGAGGCGAUGAAGGGCGUGCUAAUCUGCGAAAAGCUCGGUAAGGUGAUAUGAACCGUUAUAACCGACGAUACCCGAAUGGGGAAACCCAGUGCAAUUCGUUGCACUAUUGCAUGGUGAAUACAUAGCCAUGCAAGGCGAACCGGGGGAACUGAAACAUCUAA
rnacentral:rRNA from 1 species